GUACUCACUUUGGCAGCACAUAUACUAAAAUUGGAACGAUACAGCGAAGAUUAGCAUGGCCCCUGCACAAGGAUGACACGCAAAUUUGUGAAGUGUUCCAUAUUUUU
ensembl:snRNA U6 U6 spliceosomal RNA